rnacentral:rRNA from 1 species
UUGAACUGAAGAGUUUGAUCCUGGCUCAGAUUGAACGCUGGCGGCAUGCCUUACACAUGCAAGUCGAACGGCAGCACGGGCUUCGGCCUGGUGGCGAGUGGCGAACGGGUGAGUAAUACAUCGGAACAUGUCCUGUAGUGGGGGAUAGCCCGGCGAAAGCCGGAUUAAUACCGCAUACGAUCUACGGAUGAAAGCGGGGGACCUU